AUUGAACGCUGGCGGCAUGCUUUACACAUGCAAGUCGAACGGUAACAGGCCGCAAGGUGCUGACGAGUGGCGAACGGGUGAGUAAUGCAUCGGAACGUGCCCAGUCGUGGGGGAUAACUACUCUAAAGAGUAGCUAAUACCGCAUACGAUCUAUGGAUGAAAGCGGGGGACCGUAAGGCCUCGCGCGAUUGGAGCGGCCGAUGUCAGAUUAGGUAGUUGGUGGGGUAAAGGCUCACCAAGCCAACGAUCUGUAGCUGGUCUGAGAGGAUGACCAGCCACACUGGGACUGAGACACGGCCCAGACUCCUACGGGAGGAAGCAGUGGGGAAUUUUGGACAAUGGGCGCAAGCCUGAUCCAGCAAUGCCGCGUGCAGGAAGAAGGCCUUCGGGUUGUAAACUGCUUUUGUACGGAACGAAACGGCUCUGGUUAAUACCCGGGGCUAAUGACGGUACCGUAAGAAUAAGCACCGGCUAACUACGUG
rnacentral:rRNA from 1 species